rnacentral:lncRNA from 11 species
CUUAGCUUGAUGGCUCAUUGAGAGCUGAAGCAGCUGUUGCUGGGAGUGGUUAUGCAGUGUCCUGAGCAAGAAGCUGUUUGGAGUGCCAAGGAAGGCAAGAUAAGAACAUUCUCCAAAAAACAAAGUUGCAGUUUGUUUGCAUGCUGCCGUUUGAAGACGGAGACUCAGCAGAGAUAUUGUUUGUUAUUGGUUGUGGGAGGGGCUGCAGACCACAUGAUCAGCUAUGAGACUGCUCAGAUCUCAGACUCCAUUUUAAAACACACAGAUGCCAUGAGACUUUGGACUGUUAAGAGCAAACUCAUGUUGCUGUGCAUUGUAAGAAAGAUGCCCUGUGUUAUCUGAAACCACUUCAAAUCUACCUGUAACUGGAUUGACAAGUUAUCCAUACAGGUAUGCUGAAUACAUGAAGGCUGUGAGUAAACCAAAUAUGUUACUUUUAACAAUGUCUAUUUUUGUAUCUUGAGAGCAUGAUAUAGAAACAAGGUAUUUUAUGGGAAAAUAGAUGUUUUUGGGCACUGAAAAGAACAUUUCUGAAGAACUGCUAUAUUUUGUGCAUUGGCAUAAUCUCUGUUCCUAACAGAUCAGAGACAACUAGGUUAU